rnacentral:tRNA from 1 species
UAGCUCAGUUGGUAGAGCAUGGGACCCUUAAUCUCAGGAUCGUGAGUUCGAGCCCCAC